rnacentral:rRNA from 1 species
CCCCAGUAAACGGCGGCCGUAACUAUAACGGUCCUAAGGUAGCGAAAUUCCUUGUCGGGUAAGUUCCGACCCUCACGAAAGGCGUAACGAUUUGGGCACUGUCUCAACGAGAGACUCGGUGAAAUCAUAGUACCUGUGAAGAUUCAGGUUACCCGCGACAGGACGGAAAGACCCCGUGGAGCUUUACUGUAGCCUGAUAUUGAAAUUCGGCACAGCUUGUUCUGGAUAGGUAGGAGCCUUUGAAUCGUGAGCGCUAGCUUACGUGGAGGCGCUGGUGGGAUUCUA